UACGUAGGGGGCAAGCGUUGUCCGGAUUUAUUGGGCGUAAAGAGCGUGUAGGCGGCCAUGUAGGUCCGUUGUGAAAACUCGAGGCUCAACCUCGAGACGCCGAUGGAAACCAUGUGGCUAGAGUCCGGAAGAGGAGAGUGGAAUUCCUGGUGUAGCGGUGAAAUACGCAGAUAUCAGGAAGAACACCCGUGGCUAAGGCGGCUCUCUAGUACGGUACUGACGCUGAGACGCGAAAGCGUGGGGAGCGAACAGG
rnacentral:rRNA from 1 species